rnacentral:lncRNA from 1 species
GCCUUAUAAAUAGAACACAACCCCCUCAUUUUCCCAAGCUAGCAUCCCCUAUAAAUUAUGCCAAAAUCACACUCAAGCUUUCUUUUUUUAACCUAAACCCAAACUCACACAACCCCUUUUCUUCUUUGAACCACCCAACCACCAUGUAAUAUCCACCUUCUUCAUACAACAAGUUUUUUCCCAACAUCAAUAGCAAACCUGCAACCUUCAUCCACAUAACCAUUCAUCACCAUCAUGUAAGUAUAAA